rnacentral:rRNA from 1 species
UACGGAGGGUGCAAGCGUUAUCCGGAAUCACUGGGUUUAAAGGGUGCGUAGGCGGUCAGAUAAGUCAGUCGUGAAAUUCCUCGGCUUAACCGGGUGGACUGCGAUUGAUACUGUUUGACUUGAAUGAGGUUGAGGUAGGCGGAAUGUGGCAUGUAGCGGUGAAAUGCUUAGAUAUGCCAUAGAACACCGAUUGCGAAGGCAGCUUGCUGGGCCUUCAUUGACGCUGAGGCACGAAAGCGUGGGUAGCAAACAGG